rnacentral:rRNA from 1 species
AUUGAACGCUGGCGGCAUGCCUUACACAUGCAAGUCGAACGGCAGCAUGGGUGCUUGCACCUGAUGGCGAGUGGCGAACGGGUGAGUAAUGCAUCGGAACGUACCCGGAAGUGGGGGAUAACGUAGCGAAAGUUACGCUAAUACCGCAUAUUCUGUGAGCGGGAAAGCGGGGGAUCGCAAGACCUAGCGCUUCCGGGGCGGCCGCUGUCGGAUUAGCUAGUUGGCGGGGUAAAGGCCCACCAAGGCAACGAUCCGUAGCGGGUCUGAGAGGAUGAUCCGCCACACUGGGACUGAGACACGGCCCAGACUCCUACGGGAGGCAGCAGUGGGGAAUUUUGGACAAUGGGGGCAACCCUGAUCCAGCCAUGCGGCGUGAGUGAAGAAGGCCUUCGGGUUGUAAAGCUCUUUCGGCUGGGAAGAAAUCGCAUCUCCUAAUACGGGGUGUGGAUGACGGUACCAGCAUAAGAAGCACCGGCUAACUACGUGCCAGCCGCCGCAGUAACAC